AAGGUGGUGAUCUUCUUACUUCCACCCAGAUAGGAAGUCUCUAUGGAAGACAGGAAGUGAUGUCAGGUUCAGACAGGAAGCGAUGACAGAUAUAAAUAGGAGGUUCCGUGCGAGUAAUAAGGAAGUAGCGAGGAAACAUUGCUGAAAGUGGCAGCAGAGGAGGACAGAGAAGAUCAUUGGUGGCAAAGCGACACAUCAGAAUAAACAGUACCGGCCAUUCCGAACCAUGGAGGAGUGUGAUUAUUUAGAAGGACACAAGGAUCUAUACAAGGACGUCAUGAUGGAGAAUCCGCCGCCCCUCACAUCACCGGAUGGAUCCAGUAAU